ACAAAAGUGUGAAUUCUGUUAGUAGAAUAGAAGAACAAGAAGUUGAUAGCUGUCGUCUAGUUGCUAUUCAGAGUUCUAAAGUGAACAGCAUUAAGAAAAAUCACAGAACAGGAAAGCAAGAGCUGAUGAAGUCAGUGCAAGAGCUUGCUUCUCAAGCAGCUUCUCGAGCCAAGGCUGAAG